rnacentral:rRNA from 1 species
GCCCUUAGGCAUAAGUAACGAUAAAGAAGAUGAAAAAUCUUCUCGCCGUAAGACUAAGGGUUCCUGAUCAACGCUAAUCGGAUCAGGGUUAGUCGGGUCCUUAGGCAAAGCCGAAAGGCGUAGCUGAUGGCAAACUGGUGAAUAUUCCAGUACCUGCUAUAAUUUCGAUGGGGUAACGGAGUAGUGAAAGGACUGCGCAUCCACGGAUGUAUGCGUUAAAGGGAGUAGGUAUAUUUUGAGUAGGAAAAUCCGCUCGAGAUGCUGAACCUGAUAGUACAACAAAGCUUCGGCAGCGUUGAUAAUGUCCCUAAUCAGACUUCCAAGAAAAACCUCUAAGGUUAGGUUAUAGCAGCCCGUACCGUAAACCGACACAGGUAGUCGAGGAGAAUAUCCUAAGGCGCUCGAGUGAUCCGUGGUAAAGGAACUAGGCAAAUUGACGCUGUAACUUCGGGAUAAGGCGUGCCGCAGUGAUGCGGCCUCAGUAAAAUGGUCCAACCAACUGUUUAACAAAAACACAGGGCCCUGCAAAAUCGAAAGAUGACGUAUAGAGCCUGAUACCUGCCCGGUGCUGGAAGGUUAAGGAAGGAUGUUCGGCGCAAGCCAAAGCUUCUGACUGAAGCCCCAGUAAACGGCGGCCGUAACAAUAACGGUCCUAAGGUAGCGAAAUUCCUUGUCGGGUAAGUUCCGACCUGCACGAAUGGUCUAAUGAGUUGGACACUGUCUCUACCACGAGCUCGGUGAAAUUGUAGUAUCGGUGAAGAUGCCGGUUAAUCGCAACGGGACGGAAAGACCCCGUGAACCUUCACUACAACUUAACAUUGAUUUUGAAUGCCAGAUGUGUAGGAUAGUUGGGAGACUUUGAAGCAGCUUCGCUAGGAGUUGUGGAGUCGUCGUUGGAAUACCAACCUUCUGUUAUUUAGAGUCUAACUCCUGUAAGGGAGGACAUUGUUCGGUGGGUAGUUUGACUGGGGUGGUCGCCUCCUAAAAAGUAACGGAGGCUUGCAAAGGUACCCUCAGUACGGUUGGUAAUCGUACGCAGAGCGCAUUAGUAUAAGGGUGCUUGACUGUGAGGCAAACAAGCCGAGCAGGAGCGAAAGCUGGCUAAAGUGAUCCGGUGGUUCUGAAUGGAAGGGCCAUCGCUCAAAGGAUAAAAGGUACUCCGGGGAUAACAGGCUGAUCUCACCCAAGAGCUCAUAUCGACGGUGAGGUUUGGCACCUCGAUGUCGGUUCGUCACAUCCUGGGGCUGGAGAAGGUCCCAAGGGUUCGGCUGUUCGCCGAUUAAAGUGGCACGUGAACUGGGUUCAGAACGUCGCAAGACAGUUCGGUCCCUAUCUGUUGUGAUCGUUAGUAAAUUGAGAGGACAUGACCUUAGUACGAGAGGACCGGGUCGUACGUACCGCUGGUGUAUCUGUUGUGCCGCCAGGUGCAGUGCAGAGUAGCUAUGUACGGGCAAGAUAAACGCUGAAAGCAUCUAAGCGUGAAACUUACCUCGAGAUGAGUUUACUUUUAAGGGCCGUCGGAGACUACGACGUUGAUAGGCUACAGGUGUAAGGAUAGUAAUAUCGAAGCCGAGUAGUACUAAUUGCCCGUAAGCUUUAAUG